rnacentral:rRNA from 1 species
UACGUAGGGAGCAAGCGUUGUCCGGAAUCAUUGGGCGUAAAGCGCGCGUAGGUGGCCUCAUAAGUCCGCUGUGAAAGUCAAAGGCUCAACCUUUGAAAGCCGGUGGAUACUGUGAGGCUAGAGUACGGAAGAGGCGAGUGGAAUUCCUGGUGUAGCGGUGGAAUGCGCAGAUAUCAGGAGGAACACCUGCGGUGUAGACGGCUUACUGGACCAUGACUGACGCUGAGGCACGAAAGCGUGGGGAGCAAACAGG